CCCCUGGCCCGGGGAACUCCAUAUGCUGUGGGACUGCCAAAAAAGGAAAAACAAAAUCAAGUGACAUGAAAUAAAAUAAAAGGCUGCGGGAACUUGGACACAUAAAAAGCAUGAAGAGGGCAGGCCAGGCCGGGGCAUGGAGGCAGGGGACGAGUCUACCCUGAGCGAGAAAUGAAGAGCAAGUGUCGCCGCCAGAGCGUGGGGCAAGCCCAGGGCUCUCGUCCAGGUCCCGGGACCUGCUGGGGGAGCCCAUUUCCAAACCCGAGGACGAAACCCUUGGCCUCAGUCCGGCUUCAUUUCCUGUCUGGGGCCUCUUCCCCACCUUCGGAUGGCAGCCACGUGGAACCAGGGCCUCCCCUGUGGCCAAAACAGUGUGGGAGAGGCAGCACUUCGUGGGCAUCUGAGAAGUGGCCUGGGGGAAGCAUUACAACGUCCAGGACUUCAUUGGGUUCUGGUCCCUGUCCUGGAGGAGCCCAGCUAGUGGGAAAGACAGAUGGAGAGGUCUCUGAGAAGACGGAGGAGGUCCCUAUCCCUGCCUGGGGUAUCAAGGAAGGCUCCUUGAAGGAGUGUCGCCCAACCCAGCCUGUCCCCCAGCAGAAGGGGAACUUCUGGCCGACCUGAUUCCUGCCCUCCUGGCUUGCCACAGACAACGUCAUCCCUUUGCAAAGAGAUCUGCCUCUUAGAUGCCACGGACCAGUUCACUUCUGAGGCCACGGAACAGCCCCUGCUCUGUCCCAGGCCAUGAAAAUGGGAGUCAGGAUGCCAGGCUCUGCCUCCAUGACUACAGACUUAACGCACGCAGGCCUCAGUACCCAGCCUGUAAGUCCUCUAAGCCAAGGGCCGGAUCU